AUUAACUAUCUGAUUUCAUAAAACGAGCUUUAAUCCUAUAGUUGGAUUAUUAUUAGAAAUUUCUCGGUUUAUUAUCUCAGAAUAAUAAUUAACGGAAUAAGAGUCAUGCAUAGUUAUUUUAUGCAUUCGCAUUUAUUUGAGAAUUUCCCUCGAAUUAAAAUCUUGUUUAUUUUCUCGUAUUAAAGGUCAAGCACAAGAGUUUAAGGCUUAGUCGUGAGUCUCGACUACCAGGUUGAGCUGUGAUGGAUGAUGAAGUGUUGCUGAGUGGAGCUUUUGUCAAUUUGAAAUUAGGCUCAGAAAAGAUAUAUGUCUGCAUACAUGUAUCUCAGUUAUGUCUUCCGCUGCAAACACUGAUUAUGUUUUAGUCAAGUCUAUAACUAUGUGAAUUACUCUUCAAAGAAAUAUCUAAUGCUUACUCGGGUUCAUC